rnacentral:rRNA from 1 species
UGAGGAACAUGACUUUCGGCGGGGGAUAGCCGGCCCAACGGCCGGGUAAUACCGCGUACGACCUUUUAGGGACAUCCCCGAUUGGUGAAAGCAGCAAUGCGCCGAAAGAGUGCCUCGCGGCCUAUCAGCUAGUUGGUGGGGUAAUGGCUCACCAAGGCGACGACGGGUAGCUGGUCUGAGAGGAUGGCCAGCCACAUUGGGACUGAGACACGGCCCAGACUCCUACGGGAGCAGCAGG